GAUGAACGCUGGCGGCGUGCUUAACACAUGCAAGUCGAACGAUGAUGCCCAGCUUGCUGGGUGGAUUAGUGGCGAACGGGUGAGUAACACGUGAGUAACCUGCCCUUGACUCUGGGAUAAGCCUGGGAAACUGGGUCUAAUACCGGAUACGACCAUCUGGCGCAUGUCAUGGUGGUGGAAAGCUUUUGUGGUUUUGGAUGGACUCGCGGCCUAUCAGCUUGUUGGUGGGGUAAUGGCCUACCAAGGCGACGACGGGUAGCCGGCCUGAGAGGGUGACCGGCACAACUGGGAGUGGGACACGGCCCAGCCUGCGGGGGGAGGCAGGAGUGGGGAAUAGGACACAGGGGGGGCCAGCGUGAGGCGGCGACGCCGCGGGGGGGAGGGCGGCCAUCGGGUUGAAAGCCUCUGUCAGUAGGGAAGAAGCGACAGUGACGGCACCGGAAGAAGAGGCGCCGGCUAACUACGUGACAGCGGCCGCGGUAAGAAGCGGAAGAGCAACCGUCUGAAC
rnacentral:rRNA from 1 species